UGGAGCUCAUAAGUGACAUGUGUCUAG
rnacentral:piRNA from 1 species